AGUUUGAUCCUGGCUCAGAUUGAACGCUGGCGGGAUGCUUUACGCAUAGGUCGGGCAGCGGCACGGACUUCGGUCUGGUGGCGAGUGGCGAACGGGUGAGUAAUGUAUCGGAACGUGCCUAGUAACGGCGGGGGAUAACUACGCGAAAGCGUAGCUAAUGCCACAUACGCCCUUCGGGGGAAAGCGGGGGACCUUCGGGCCUCGCUGUUAGAGCGGCCGAUAUCGGAUUGGCUAGUUGGUGGGGUAACGGCUCACCAAGGCGACGAUCCGUAGCUGGUUUGAGAGGACGACCAGCCACACUGGGACGUGAGACACGGCUGAACUCCUACGGAGGCAGCAGUGGGGAAUUUUGGACAAUGGGGGAAACCUGAUCAGCCCAUCCCGUGUGCGUGAAGGGCCUUCAGGGUUGUAAAAACACUUUUUUGGCAGAAAAGCGGCACGGGAUAAUACGAUACAACUGACAGUACCUGCAAAAUAAGCACCAGCUAACUACGUGCCAGCAUACGAGUAAUACGUAAGGUGCAAAACGUUAAUCGGAAUUACUGGGCGUAAAGCGUGCGCAGGCGGUUCGGAAGAAGAUGUGAAAUCCCAGGCUUAACUUUGGAACUGCAUUUUUAACUACCGAGCUAGAGUGUGUCAGAGGAGGUGGAAUUCCGCGUGUAGCAGUAAACCGUAGAUAUGCGGAGGAACACCGAUGGCGAAGGCAGCCUCCUGGGAUACUUACUGACGCUCAUGCACGAAAGCGUGGGAGCAAACAGGAUUAGAUACCCUGGUAGUCCACGCCUAAACGAUGUCAACUAGCUGUUGGGGCCUUCGGGCCUUGGUAGCGCAGCUAACGCGUGGGGUGUGCGAGUACGGUCGCAAGAUUAAAACUCAAAGGAAUUGACGGGGACCCGCACAAGCGGUGGAUGAUGUGGAUUAAUUCGAUGCAACGCGAAAAACCUUACCUACCCUUGACAUGUCUGGAAUCCCGAAGAGAUUUGGGAGUGCUCGCAAGAGAACCGGAACACAGGUGCUGCAUGGCUGUCGUCAGCUCGUGUCGUGAGAUGUUGGGUUAAGUCCCGCAACGAGCGCAGCCCUUGUCAUUAGUUGCUACGAAGGGCACUCUAAUGAGACUGCCGGUGACAAACCGGAGGAAGGUGGGGAUGACGUCAAGUCCUCAUGGCCCUUAUGGGUGAGGGCUUCACACGUCAUACAAUGGUCGGGACAGAGGGUCGCCAACCCGCGAGGGGAGCCAAUCCCAGAAACCCGAUCGUAGUCCGGAUCGCAGUCUGCAACUCAAGCUGCAAAUCCGGACUCAGGUUCUGUUUCGCGGGUUGGCGUCGACCUGUGAACCCAUAAAAAGAGCCGCCCGGCGUCUAUUCGGCAGUCUGAUAAGGCGCGCACUAAAACAGCGGCUAAUGACUUAAUAACCCAACGUCUCUUACUAACUGACGACAGCCAUGCAAUACCUGUUCAUUUCUCUUCGCGAGAACUCUCGGGAUUCCAGACCUGUCAGAGUAGGUAGGUUUUUCGCGUUGCGCUCAGAUUGAGUACAUCAUCCCGCACCGCUGUGCGGUUGCUGGUUUUAAUCUUGCGCGACCGGCGGUCAACUUCGCGCGUUAUGCAUAUAGGCGAAUCUAACUGCUAGUUGACAUCGUUUAGGGCGUGGACUACAGGGUAUCUAAUCCCUGUUUGCUCCCCACGCUUUUUUCGUUAGGCCUCAUGUCAGGCUUGCCUUCGCCAUCGAUGUUCCUCCGCAUAUCUCCGCAUUUCUAUGCCCGCACGCGGGUCCCGCCCGCCGCCUGACGCAUACUGUAAGCUUUCGGUAGUUAAAAAUGCGGUUCAAAGUUAAAUGAGUUUUCCUCUUCUUUUUUCAGGCCGCCUGCGCGCCGCCAAUGUCCGAUCCGGCGCCCCUGCAUAUUACCGCGGCUGCCAGCGUAACCAGCCGAUGCCGUGCCGCGGGUAUUAUCGUGCAUUUCUUUCCCUGCCAAAGAACACGGCCGUACGCGGAAAACCGGCUGGAUCAGAGGUUUCCCCAUUGUCCAAAAUUUACUGCCUCCCGGCAAGUCUGGAGCCCAGUGUGACUGGUCAUCUCAAACCAGCACGGAUCGCUGGCAUGAGUAAUUGCCCGCCCUGGCCUCUAGCGGCCCGAAAAUUUCCCGCUUCGAAAGGCGUGUGCGCAUCCCCGCCCCCACCGGCGUUCCGAUACAUUACCCGUUCGCCAUGAGCGCCUAGUCCCUGCACGCAGUUCGACUUGCGUGUAAAGCGUCCGCCAGCGCUCCCGUCACAGGCCGGGAUCAAAC
rnacentral:misc_RNA from 1 species